rnacentral:rRNA from 1 species
CCUACGGGAGGCAGCAGUGAGGAAUAUUGGUCAAUGGACGAAAGUCUGAACCAGCCAAGUCGCGUGAAGGAUGACGGCCCUAUGGGUUGUAAACUUCUUUUGUAGGGGAGUAAAGCCAGGGACGUGUGCCUUUUUGAAUGUACUGUACGAGUAAGGAUCGGCUAACUCCGUGCCAGCAGCCGCGGUAAUACGGAGGAUCCGAGCGUUAUCCGGAUUUAUUGGGUUUAAAGGGAGCGUAGGUGGGUUGUUAAGUCAGUUGUGAAAGCUUGGGGCUCAACCGUAGAAUUGCAUUUGAUACUGGCAGUCUUGAGUGUAGUUGAGGUAAGCGGAAUUCGUGGUGUAGCGGUGAAAUGCUUAGAUAUCACGAAGAACACCGAUGGCGAAGGCAGCUUACUAAACUGUGACUGACAUUGAGGCUCGAAAGUGUGGGUAGCAAACAGGAUUAGAUACCCCAGUAGUC